AGAACGAACGCUGGCGGCAUGCCUAAUACAUGCAAGUCGAACGAACUCUUCGGAGUUAGCGGCGCACGGGUGCGUAACGCGUGGGAAUCUGCCCCUUGGUUCGGAAUAACAGUUGGAAACGACUGCUAAUACCGGAUGAUGACGAAAGUCCAAAGAUUUAUCGCCAAGGGAUGAGCCCGCGUAGGAUUAGCUAGUUGGUGAGGUAAAGGCUCACCAAGGCAACGAUCCUUAGCUGGUCUGAGAGGAUGAUCAGCCACACUGGGACUGAGACACGGCCCAGACUCCUACGGGAGGCAGCAGUAGGGAAUAUUGGACAAUGGGCGAAAGCCUGAUCCAGCAAUGCCGCGUGAGUGAUGAAGGCCUUAGGGUGUAAAGCUCUUUUACCCGAGAUGAUAAUGACAGUAUCGGAGAAUAAGCCCGGCUAACUCCGUGCCAGCAGCCGC
rnacentral:rRNA from 1 species